UUUCCGUAGGUGAACCUGCGGAAGGAUCAUUAACACGUUAUCCACGUAUCAACCAAACCGUGAACUUGAACCUGUAUGCCAGUUGCGCGCUGUCGAGAGGGAGUGGAGAAGGGAUUCUUCACUUUGCUUUCCCCAGUGUGUUUCAACUGCCAUCGUUGUUCCCAAUUACCAAAUCACCCCUGAUGUCUCUUUUUUCUUCUUUGGGAGAAGAAGGAGCCAUUGGUUUUAUUCUCUAUUUCUUAUUGAAGAUCUGAAGCCAUUUCGGCUUUGUCUUCUAACACAAACGCUGUACAACUCUUAGCAACGGAUAUCUUGGUUUCC
rnacentral:misc_RNA from 1 species